rnacentral:rRNA from 1 species
UACAGAGGGUGCGAGCGUUAAUCGGAAUUACUGGGCGUAAAGCGUGCGUAGACGGUUAUUUAAGUCGGAUGUGAAAGCCCCGGGCUCAACCUGGGAAUUGCAUUCGAGACUGAAUAGCUAGGGUACGGUAGAGGGAAGUGGAAUUUCCGGUGUAGCGGUGAAAUGCGUAGAUAUCGGAAGGAACAUCAGUGGCGAAAGCGACUUCCUGGACCAGUACCGACGUCAGGCACGAAAGCGUGGGGAGCAAACAGGA